GCUGGCCCGGGGUGGACUAGAAUGCUAGUCGAGUGACUCAGGCAAAACGAGUCACGGCACACAGCUCAGUAACACGUGGCUAAUCUGCCCUUAGGACGAGAACAACCCCGGGAAACUGGGGCUAACUCUUGAUAGGUGAAGAACUCUGGAAUGAGUCUUUGCCUAAAAAGAUUCACGUUAUCCUCGUGAACCUGCCUAAGGAUGAGGCCGCGACCGAUCAGGUUGUUGGCGAGGUAAUGGCUCACCAAGCCUUUUACCGGUGCGGGCCGUGGGAGCGGGAGCCCGGAGAUGGGUACUGAGACAAGGACCCAGGCCCUACGGGGCGCAGCAGUCGCGAAACCUUUGCAAUACACGAAAGUGUGACAGGGCUAUCCCGAGUGCCAUCCGCUGAGGAAGGCUUUUACCCAGUCUAGAACGCUGGGGGAAUAAGGAGAGGGCAAGUCUGGUGUCAGCCGCCGCGGUAAUACCAGCUCUCCGAGUGGUGUGGAUGUUUAUUGGGCCUAAAGCAUCCGUAGCUGGCUAGGUAAGUCCCUUGUUAAAUCCACCGAAUUAAUCGUUGGAUCGCGGGGGAUACUGCUUGGCUAGGGGACGAGAGAGGCAGACGGUAUUUUCGGGGUAGGGGUGAAAUCCUAUAAUCCCGGGAAGACCACCAGUGGCGAAGGCUGUCUGCUAGAACGCGCCCGACGGUGAGGGAUGAAAGCUGGGGGAGCGAACCGGAUUAGAUACCCGGGUAGUCCCAGCUGUAAACGAUGCAGACUAGGUGUUUGGACGGCCACGUGCCGUUCUAGUGCCGCAGGGAAGCUGUUAAGUCUGCCGCCUGGGGAGUACGAUCGCAAGAUUGAAACUUAAAGGAAUUGGCGGGGGAGCACCACAAGGGGUGAAGCUUGCGGUUUAAUUGGAGUCAACGCCGGG
rnacentral:rRNA from 1 species